GACGAACGCUGGCGGCGUGCUUAACACAUGCCAGUCGAACGGAAAGGCCCUGCUUUUGUGGGGUGCUCGAGUGGCGAACGGGUGAGUAACACGUGAGUAACCUGCCCUUGACUUUGGGAUAACUUCAGGAAACUGGGGCUAAUACCGGAUAGGAGCUCCUGCUGCAUGGUGGGGGUUGGAAAGUUUCGGCGGUUGGGGAUGGACUCGCGGCUUAUCAGCUUGUUGGUGGGGAAGUGGCUUACCAAGGCUUUGACGGGUAGCCGGCCUGAGAGGGUGACCGGCCACAUUGGGACUGAGAUACGGCCCAGACUCCUACGGGAGGCAGCAGUGGGGAAUAUUGCACAAUGGGCGGAAGCCUGAUGCAGCAACGCCGCGUGCGGGAUGACGGCCUUCGGGUUGUAAACCGCUUUCGCCUGUGACGAAGCGUGAGUGACGGUAAUGGGUAAAGAAGCACCGGCUAACUACGUG
rnacentral:rRNA from 1 species